rnacentral:rRNA from 1 species
GAUGAACGCUGGCGGCGUGCCUAAUACAUGCAAGUCGAGCGAACGGACGAGAAGCUUGCUUUUCUGAUGUUAGCGGCGGACGGGUGAGUAACACGUGGAUAACCUACCUAUAAGACUGGGAUAACUUCGGGAAACCGGAGCUAAUACCGGAUAAUAUUUUGAACCGCAUGGUUCAAAAGUGAAAGACGGUCUUGCUGUCACUUAUAGAUGGAUCCGCGCUGCAUUAGCUAGUUGGUAAGGUAACGGCUUACCAAGGCAACGAUGCAUAGCCGACCUGAGAGGGUGAUCGGCCACACUGGAACUGAGACACGGUCCAGACUCCUACGGGAGGCAGCAGUGGGGAAUCUUCCGCAAUGGGCGAAAGCCUGACGGAGCAACGCCGCGUGAGUGAUGAAGGUCUUCGGAUCGUAAAACUCUGUUAUUAGGGAAGAACAUAUGUGUAAGUAACUGUGCACAUCUUGACGGUACCUAAUCAGAAAGCCGCGGCUAACUACGUG